GGUAGGAACACGUAGGUACGUACCCAAAAGUCAGGGAUAACCCGGAGAAAUCCGGAAUAAUACUUGAUGGUCCCUUCGGGGUAAAGAUUUAUCGCUUUUGGAACGGCCUGCGGGCUAUCAGCUUGUUGGUAAGGUAACGGCUUACCAAGGCUACGACGGCUAGGGGAGGUGAGAGCCUGACCCCCACCGAUGGAACUGCGACACGGUCCAUACUCCUACGGGAGGCUGCAGUCGAGAAUCUUCCGCAAUGGACGAAAGUCUGACGGAGCGACGCCGCGUGGUGGAUGAAGUCCUUAGGGACGUAAACACCUUUUAUGGAGGAGAAAGUUUAUUGAUGUUACUCCAUGAAUAAGGGGCUCCUAACUCUGCGCCAGCAGGAGCGGUAAUACAGAGGCCCCAAGCAUUAUCCGGAUUCACUGGGCGUAAAGGGUGCGUAGGCGGUGUUAUUAGUCGGGUGUUAAAUCCUGGGGCUCAACCUCAGAAUCGCAUUCGAAACGGUAACACUAGAAGAAGUAAGAGGUGAACAGAACUCUCGGUGUAGGGGUGAAAUCCGUUGAUAUCGAGGGGAAUACCAAAUGCGAAGGCAGUUCACUGGUACUUUCUUGACGCUGAGGCACGAAAGCGUGGGUAGCGAAGCGGAUUAGAUACCCG
rnacentral:rRNA from 1 species